rnacentral:rRNA from 1 species
UCGGGAAUUUUGGGCAAUGGGCGAAAGCCUGACCCAGCAACGCCGCGUGAAGGAUGAAGUAUUUCGGUAUGUAAACUUCGAAAGAAUAGGAAGAAUAAAUGACGGUACUAUUUAUAAGGUCCGGCUAACUACGUGCCAGCAGCCGCGGUAAUACGUAGGGACCAAGCGUUGUUCGGAUUUACUGGGCGUAAAGGGCGCGUAGGCGGCAAUUCAAGUCAUCUGUGAAAUCUCCGGGCUUAACUCGGAACGGUCAGAUGAUACUGCUUUGCUAGAGUGCAGAAGGGGCAAUCGGAAUUCUUGGUGUAGCGGUGAAAUGCGUAGAUAUCAAGAGGAACACCUGAGGUGAAGACGGGUUGCUGGGCUGACACUGACGCUGAGGCGCGAAAGCUAGGGUAGCAAACGGGAUUAGAUACCCUCGUAGUCCCUGAGCGGGCUGGCAAGGCGCAU